UAGCUAGCCUCAAUUACUCAAGGAUCUCCAAGCUGCAUGCCUCCAAUAAUGUUGCCGGUGUCAUGGCUCUCCACGGUGCUGAAAUUGUUGAGAGGAAUGUCCUGAAGAAACUCAGGUUGCAGUCAUGGGCCACACUAACUUAUGUCGGUUUCCAUGUAAGAAUUAUUACGUAUGGAUUGAACCAGUAAAUAGCCUGAAUCAGGGAAAAGGGCCAAAGUUGUAUUCCUGAAUCAGGCUCACAAUGAUCUUGCUUGCGUGGAAGGAACAUUCAUUCCUGCAAGAAUCGAUCGACUGCCAAGGAGGGUGAUGGAUUGACUUGCAACCAGUCCACGGAUUAUCUGAAGCCAUGCAAGGAAGAAGAAGCAGAAACACUGCCCAGGCUAGAAGAAGCGUAGCCUGCAGCUAGGUGGUACUAUCUGAAGCCCAUCAUCAGCCUUGUGAUGCCGCUCAGAAUAAAAUUGCUUCGAUGAGUACACCAUUCACAUUCACACCGUGCGUGCGAUGAAACAACCAGACUACAUCUUCUGAAGAAAUGAACACUUGUCAUGCUGUUAACUGAAGAAAUCGACACCCGGCGGUUGGCGCGGCGGCCUCGUCGUCGACCAUCUGAUCUUCAUCUAAUGGCAGCCUACCGCUUCGUCCCGAGUUACGACACACCACCGCCCUUCAUCGCGCAUCGAAUGGAUCUGAAGACUGGAGCCGUCACUAUUUGAAUUACCUUUCAUUGUUUCCUUGUUCACCAGCUUUACUUUAGCAUUGAAGUUACCUUUCACUGGUUGUAAUUGGUAAAAAUGCCUGAAUCUAUAUGAGAGCCUCGGAGCCUAUGUUCCUAUUACUUGGGGUAAACCCUAGUAAGACACCGUUUCCUGGGUGGUGUAAACAUGCAUCCUUAAUCCG